GGUAAGUUCCGACCUGCACGAAUGGCGUAACGACUUGGGUACUGUCUCAACCAGAGACUCGGCGAAAUUGCAUUGUGAGUAAAGAUGCUCACUACCUGCGACAGGACGGAAAGACCCCGGAACCUUUACUGCAGCUUGACAUUGAUGUCUGGUAUACACUGUGUAGGAUAGGUGGGAGACCGCGAAACGGUGCCGCCAGGUACCGUGGAGUCACCCUUGAAAUACCACCCUUUGUAUGGCGGGCACCUAACUUAGGUCCGUUAUCCGGAUCAAGGACAGUGUCUGGCGGGCAGUUUCACUGGGGCGGUGGCCUCCUAAAGAGUAACGGAGGCGCUCAAUGGUUCCCUCAGUCUGGUCGGCAAUCAGACGACGAGUGCAAUGACACAAGGGAGCUUGACUGUGAGACUUACAAGUCGAACAGGGACGAAAGUCGGACAUAGUGAUCCUACCGUGGCAUGUGGAAGCGCGGUGGCUUAACGGCUAAAAGGUACUCCGGGGAUAACAGGCUCAUACCCCCCAAGAGUCCAUAUCGACGGGGGUGUUUGGCACCUCGAUGUCGGCUCGUCGCAUCCUGGGGCUGAAGCAGGUCCCAAGGGUCGGGCUGUUCGCCCGUUAAAGCGGCACGCGAGCUGGGUUUAGAACGUCGUGAGACAGUUCGGUCCCUAUCCGUCGCAGGCGUAGGAGAUUUGAGAGGAUCUGUCCCUAGUACGAGAGGACCGGGAUGGACGUACCUAUGGUGUGCCAGUUGUCCUGCCAAGGGCACGGCUGGUUAGCUACGUACGGACAGGAUAAGCGCUGAAGGCAUCUAAGUGCGAAGCCCACCUCAAGAUGAGAUCUCCCACCGUUAAUUCGGGUAAGGACCCUGGUAGAACACCAGGUUGAUAGGCCGGAAGUGUAAGCACAGCAAUGUGUUCAGCGGACCGGUACUAAUAGUCCGAGGGCUUGAUUAU
rnacentral:rRNA from 1 species